AUACACACUCAGCUUUAAUGUACAUGAAAUUCAUUUAUACCCAGCUUAUCAGCCAAUGUGGCUGGAAUAAUCAGUACACAAAAAGGGGGCUGAGUUAUGUUGUGUGUACAGAUCACACUUCAAAAAGGGGUGCUUAUGAAAGCAGUACAAAAGUUAUUUGUGAUGUUCACACACAGUACCAACUUGCAGCAAGUGAGCUCCCUCUACAUAGCUUGCUUAUAACAAAAUUGCCCAUAGGGCUAUCAGAAAAGAGUAAUGGUAUGACAUCUAGGUAAUGUGAACAAACUGUCCAGUAAUCCCCUUGGAAAAAGAACUCCCGCAAAAAAAUAAUGACAACACUUGAUGUUACAGUAGCAAGGCAGAGCUACCAUCCCUCGAUUUUCAAUGAGCCGGCACAAACUAAGGGCCCCAAAAUAUUCCAUUCUGGCCUUCUGGAUAAUUUACAGUGCAGUUAAGUCUCCCACUGAAAGAAAUUGCUUCAUAUCAUCAGAGGAAAUUCAGCUAAUUGGUAAACAUGAACUGUGUUUUCCUUCUCACCUACUGUCCUCACUAACACAGAUAACCUUCAAAAUGGAUUGCUACCUGCCUCAUUUGAUUCACAUGAAUUCUGCAAAAGUACAAUUUUAGUAACCCUAGAUUCGCUCCACAUCCAAAAGGGCCUCUUGUGGUCUCUUGUUACCUGAUAUGUACAGCUACCGUAUAACAUCGUCAUCAUGCACAGACCUAGCUAAGCAAUGAACUUC
rnacentral:lncRNA from 1 species